rnacentral:lncRNA from 1 species
CGAAAGUCUUUUAACAACAAUAGCGAAAAUAAAGAUGUGAAAAUUAACAACAUGUCUCUACCCAGUAACUGGUGUCACCACUCACGGACAAUUAAAGAGUACUAAAAACAGUAGUCUGAAAGAAAUACAUCAUAUAUCUGUUUGAUACAAAUAAAACAAACUGAAAAGAUAAGAUAAGGGAGACUCAGGGCCCGCGAACGCCAGCGAACUACCUCAGAGUCUCUGGACUGAAGGAUCACUCUCGAACUAUAGUUGCAGUCUGUAUGCUGUAUUCUGACCUGUGCAUAAAAAGGAACAUAAGCGUAGUAUCAGCACAACCGACCCCAUGUGCUGGUAAGUGCCCGUCCUAACCGUGAUGAGGUACUGACGAGGCUAAACCGGACCUACCACAACCAACCUGUACAGAUAUAUGAAAUAACAGAAAGUGAGCAAGAAUUUAAGCAAAUAAAAGGAAAGGGCACAUGGUGGGGGAGUAGCAGUUCAACUAUAACUUCUACAAUUAAGAGAUGAAACUGAAUAAAUAAUAAUAAAAUAAGAAAGCAAAUGGAUCAACAACUGCACGCCAUCAUCCUUCGUGUUUUUACUCUCAUUCCUUACCAAAAUAGUCAAAUAUAAUGCACGGUAUCACUCUUCGUGCUUUUACUCUCAUUUCUCACCAAGAAUAUCAAAUACAAGGCACGACAUCACCCUUCNNNNNNNNNNNNNNNNNNNNNNNNNNNNNNNNNNNNNNNNNNNNNNNNNNNNNNNNNNNNNNNNNNNNNNNNNNNNNNNNNNNNNNNNNNNNNNNNNNNNNNNNNNNNNNNNNNNNNNNNNNNNNNNNNNNNNNNNNNNNNNNNNNNNNNNNNNNNNNNNNNNNNNNNNNNNNNNNNNNNNNNNNNNNNNNNNNCCAAUCAAUGGUCACAGCCAAACGGGAACAAGGAAAUAUAUAUAUCAAGACAAAAUAUCCCGGCAAGGGAGAACAAUUCAACAAAUGGUCCCGGCAAGGGAAAUACAACUCAACAAUAGGUCCCUGCAAGGGAAUACAACUCAACAAAUGGUCCCGGUAAGGGAAAAGUACCAAAAGUUCCUCUUUAGUUCAUUUAAUUCUCAGCUUUCACUGCAUAGUUUUUGUAAAAAGUAAUUAUCACAAUUGUUCACUUACUUCACAAUUUAAUAGCAAAUAUGACAUCACUGUCAUGCUUGACUCGGGCGCAUAGGUAACAGUCACCAUACCUAUACACCGACCCCACAUAGCACAUAACAAAUAACAAUCUAAUCAUAUUCCCUCAAACAUCACGGUCAUGCUUGACUCGGGUGCAUAGGUAAUCGUCACCAUACCUAUGCACCGACCCCACAUAGCACAUAACAAAUAACAACCUAAUCAUAUUCCCUCAAGCCAAAGUUAGAUCGAACACUUAGCUCGAAUCCGAAAAUAGCAACUCAAAGCUCAACAAUCGCCUUUUCUAUUGAAUUUGACCCCGAACCAACGAUAGCUAACAUAAUCAUGUUCAAUAUUAUCAAUAAGAAUCCAAAAACACAAUCCCAUAGCCUAGAAAUGCAUUUCCUAGCUUACUUCCAAAAAUACUAAAAUCUAGCACCGGGCCCACGUGGUCCAAACUCGAGGCACGGUCCAAAACCCAAUCCCCCAUAACUCCACGAGUUCAUAAUAUAUAAUUAUAUUUUAAAUUCGACCUCAAAUUGAGGUCCAAUCCUCCAUAACACCACGAGUUCGAAUAUAUAAUUAGAUUUUAAAUUCGACCUCAAAUCGAGGUUCAAAUACCCAAUGUCCCAUAAACCCUAACUAAACCGAAAACUCCUAAAUUCUACUUUGAUUUCAUGUUUUAGAGCUAGGAAUUUAAUGAAUUGAUCAAGAAAAAGUGAGGAAAUAAUGUUAGGAUUACUUACUCAAAGAGUUGGGAAGAAGGUAGAGCUUGAAUCUCGUCAAUGGAGGACUUUUGGAAAGAGUUCGAGUGAAAAAUGGGUGAAAUCCGGAGUGAACACUAUUUUGGAGUUUAAAUAUUUUCGCUGGGAAAUUACCAUUCGCGUUCACGAGAACAGGGUCGCGUUCGCGAAGGGUUGGUCAGCUUGAGCAUCGCGUUCACAUGGGAAGAAUCGCAAACGCAUUUCACGUUCGCGUGAACAGGAUUGUGUUCGCGAAGGGUUGAGCAGGUUGAGCAUCGCGUUUUCGUGGGAAGAAUCGUGAACGCGUAGAAUAGAAGGUGGGGCUUCACAGUUGGCCUACGCGAAUAUGUGGGCCAUAUGCGAACGCAUAGAAUGAGCAGACCAGGCUCCGCGAACGCAAGAGCCAUCACGCGGACGCGUAGAGGAAAAGACAAAGGUCUAGAUUUUUGUUAUAUGCGAACGCGAUGGGUUAAUCGCGAACGCAAAGGAGGGAAAAAGGAGGGCAUCGCGAACGCAAAGGAGGGAAAAAGGAGGGCAUCGCGAACGCGGCCAGAGGGACGCGAACGCGAUGAAGAGAAACAUGCUACAAUUUUUCUGCAAUUUUCCUAAGUGCAAAACAUCCUGCGUCCUAACCGUGAUCACUCCCGAGCCCUCGGGGCUCCCAACCAACCACACACACAAACUUAAUAUCAUCCUACGAACUUGAUUGAGUGAUCUAAUCGCCAAAACAACAUCAAAAUCAUAAAAUCAACCCCCAAAAACUCAUGAAACUUUCAAAUUUUUCACUUUUAGUCCGAAACACGUCAAACGACGCCCGUUUUCAACCAAACUUUACAGAUAGAGCUUAACGCUUAUUUAAGACUUGUACCGGGCGUUAAAACCAAAAUAUGAGCCUGAUACCAUUAUUUUUUAUCAAUUUCCGUUUUCAUUUUUCCUUAAGCAUAUUCAUAAAACAAUUUCAUAGAAAAGCUCUGUACUUGGGCCUGGGACCUCGGAUUUCGAUUCUGGGGAAUACGCCCGGGUCCCAAAUUUUCUUACGGACCCUCAGGGACCUAGAAAAGCUUCGUACUCGGGCCUGGGAACUCGAAUUUUAAUUCCGGGAAUACAACCGAGCCCCUAAUUUUCUUACGGACCCUCCGGCACCGUCACAUCACGGGUCCGUUUACCCAAAAUGUUGACCAAAGUCAACUAUAGCCAUAUUAGUAUCAAAAUUCAUAGUUUUUAACACAUAAUUUAAAUAUUUUCACAUAAAAAUAUUUCGCUUCGCACCCGGACUGCACACGUAAAUCGAGGCAACCCAAUAAGAGAUUUUCAAGACCUCAAAAGCGCAAGGAAAUGGAGAAUUCCGAUAAUUACCCGUUGGGUCGUCACAUCCGAGACCUCAACGAAAGGCAGCAACACAUCUGAAAACCUUAUUCAAACUUGUUUCAAUCAUCAAAACACCUCAAACAAUAUCAAAUCACCAAAAACACAUCAGAUUCAAGUCUAAGUUUUCAAAAUACGCAUUUGAUCAAUAACCCGACCAAACCACGUCUGAAUGACCUGAAAUUUUACACACACAUUCCAAAUAACACAACGAAGCUACUACAACUCUCAAAAUUUCAUUCCGACCCUUAUAUCAAAAUCUUGUCUAUCAACCGGAAGUCACCAAAAUAUCAAUUUCGUUAAUUCAAGCCUAAAUCUUCUCUACACCUCCAAAACUCAUUCCAAUCACACUCCUAAGUCAUAAAUCACCUCCCAAGUUAUAAAUCACCUCCCGAAGCUAACCGAACUAUUAGAACUAACAUCCAAUCCUUCUAACACAUAUGUCAACAUUUGAUUGACUUUUCCGACUUAAACCUUCCUAAAAGAGACUAAUAGCUCGUUUGGCCCAACUGCAAAAACCAACUUAUUUUUUAGAAGUGUUUUUUUUUUUCAAAAGUACUUUUGGUGAGAGACAGUUUGUGUUUAACUAAUUAGUUUGAAAAAUACUUUUAAACAGCAAUUAGUAUUUGGUCAAGCAAUAAAAACUACUUUUAAGUGUAUUUUUCUCAAAAGCGUUUUUCAACAAAGUACUUUUGGAGAGAAGCUACUUUUUUUUGCUUCUCUAAAACUGCUUCUGCUACUCCUCAAAAGCAUAUUUUUUUCAAACAACUCAAUUUUUGGCCAAAAGCACUUUUGGCAAAAAAAGAAGCACUUUUGACAGACUAUAAGUGUCCCAAACUUCACCAAACUCAUUCUUGACUCGAUCCGACCAACCUGAUACCAUAAAACACAGAUAAUGAAGCAUAAAGAAGCAGAAAUGAAAAAUGGAACGGUAACUCAUAAGAUGACUGGCCAUGUCGUCACAUAUUGUUUCUCCUAGAUGGCCUUUAAGUGAGCCCAAAUCGAGUUCAUUUAUAAGAUGGGAAACGUUGGCAUUGGCUUGGCUCACGGAUUGACAACUAGGACUUGGUUGAGACUGGUCCAACCUCGCGACAAAUUUAUCAAUCUGAAUUUAAUUCCUAUAAAAUAAAAGCUCAUUCUAGUGAGAAAGAUUUCUAUGUAGCUCACUAUGGAACAUAGAAUACUUUCUACUUCAUACCAACAAUAAGCUUAGCCAAUGAAAAUUAUUCAACUUUCCCUAAUACGGUUUAUAAAAAAUAUUGAGGAUGUUCUUUUUCUUUUAGCCACGAAAUUAAUUUCUACAGUGAAACCAUUUAAUUGGCAUAGGAUUUUUAACAAACCAAAGAAAUACAUAACAAAUAAAUCACAAGUGACAAUAAAGUUUUGCAAGAAUAUCAAAUUCCAACUAAAUACCAAAAUAAAAAAAAAACAGAAAAAACACAAUUUAAUGGAGAGAAAAAUAGUCGCAACCUACAUAGGGUUAAGAAAUAAACAAGAGGAAGUGAGGAAGCUUUACGAUAGUGGCUGUAGAGGAGUGACCAGUGAACAAGCGUGCUUUGAAACAACAAAAGAGAAGAACUGAAGAGGAGCCGUGAGCGUGAAAACUGAAACUGUACGACUAAAGUGGUGGUUGGGGACUAAGGAAUAUUGCUGGAGACGAGGUCGGGGAAUUGGGAAUUGGUAUUCUGGAGACUAAUUUUAAGAAAGGGGAAAGUGGGG